rnacentral:rRNA from 1 species
UACGAAGGGGGCGAGCGUUGUUCGGAUUUACUGGGCGUAAAGGGCGCGCAGGCGGCUCAUUUUGUCAGGCGUGAAAGCCCCGGGCUUAACCUGGGAACUGCGUUUGAUACGGAUGGGCUAGAGUUCGGGAGAGGAGAGUGGAAUUCCCAGUGUAGAGGUGAAAUUCGUAGAUAUCAGGAGGAACACCGGUGGCGAAGGCGGGUCUCUGGGCCGAUACUGACGCUGAGGAGCGAAAGCGUGGGGAGCGAACAGG